AGCACCUUCACCACAAUGUCAUCCAAAUUGAAAGAAACAGUGGACUCCUAUUGGCAUAUUCUAGCCAACGAUCCAACAUUGCCAGCAGAAUUCCGACAACCACCUAUGAUGAGCUAUCGGCGGGGCAAGAAUUUCCGUGAUCUUUUAGUUAAAAUGGACCCCACACAUUGAUACAUGAAGGAACAACAGCAAACGAAUGUGGGCUGUUACCGAUGUCUGGGAUGCGUCACGUGUGGCCAUAUGAUUCCUAGUAAAACCUUCCUCCAUCCACACACAGGGAAACAAUAUAAAAUACGUCACAGACUGACAUGUACGACUGUUUUUGUCAUAUACAAACUACAGUGCCCAUGUGGAUUAUCCUACAUAGGGAAAACAGACCUACCACUCAGAGAAAGAAUUAGGAACAAUCGGUCUAAUAUCAGAGUGGCAUACAGGGAGAAAAAAGCAGAACUGCCAGUAGCCAAACAUUUUUUGGCAAUGGGACACCAACUCCCGACUCUCAAAUUCACAGCUAUUGAUCAUGUACCUCCCCUGCUACGGGGUGGUGAUCGGAAAAAACUCUUGUUACAGCGUGAAACAUUCUGGAUUAGGACAUUAGACACAGUGUGG